GUGACCUCAGAUCAGGCGAGACCACCCGCUGAGUUUAAGCAUAUCACUAAGCGGAGGAAAAGAAACUAACAAGGAUUCCCUUAGUAGCGGCGAGCGAACCGGGAAGAGCCCA
rnacentral:rRNA from 1 species